AAGACAGAAAGAUAGAUUUUAAGUGAUUAUAAGUAAUAAGCGCACUGAUCCCAGUUGGUUACCUACGAAAUAAAAAAUAAAAUCACAAUCUGGGUUCUAUAAACUAGAGAGGAUUUGAAUCAAGCCGUAUCUCACCCUGAUGACGUAGUUCCUUCAUACACAGGCAGGGAUUCCUCUUUCCAGCCUGGGACCACCUCCCCAGGUCAGUCUUUGUCCUCCAGAUGUGUUUCCAGGUGUUGAGUUGUGGGGGGAAAGUGAGGCCAAGUGAUGAUGUCAGUUCCUCUCUUUGAUAGGUUCCUCCAGCUUGCUGGAAAGACCCUUUGCUAUGAGGUGAGUCAAGCGGCCUCCAUUGUCUCCAUGCUCUCUCUGAGAGGUCUCCAUUGUAUGCAGUUCCUGGGGUCGUCCUUGUGCGGAACAGACUCAUCAGAGCUGGAGAGGAAAGUGUCACAGAAGUGGAAGGGGAAUAUGCAUGGAGCCCAAACAGUGUGAUCAUGCAGCGUUUAUAUCCCAGUUUCCAAAGCCACUGCUUGGCUUUUUCCUGCCGAGUUGGGAUGGCUUGAAGAUGGGAAGUUUGGCUGAUUUUUUUUCUCCUAUUAUGACGAUGCUAAAACUUUAAUAAAUAACACACCUCCAUAUUUCCGAGACAACGCUGAGUGAAGCGGCUUUGAACGGGUGAGAGAAGAACUCAAUGGGAGAAUCUUUUGUCCUGAUUCUGAGUCGUCAGAUGUAACCUGAUAUGAAAUGUCACCCUCUAUGAAACAGAAAGGGUCUUACACUGAUCCGAGACGUGGCUUUUUCUCUCUUUUCUGAAGGCUUUUUGGUCACACAACUGGAUAUUAGUUUUGUUUGACCGAAUAUAGCUCAGAUUUUUUUGGGGGGGGCUUUGAGACAGAUGGCCAUUUGCUAAAAUAAUCAUUUCUGACUAUAUUUUUGCUUUCCCACCAACCCUCCAUGAUCACAGGGAAGAGGUUUAAGUGCAGUUCAGUCAACAGCAGCGAAUGCUCCAAACUAUUUAACCUGCUACCUAGGAAACAGUCGUGUUUUUAAAUCUCCAGCCUGAAAUGGCGAAAAACAGCAUAUCCCAAACUGUGCAAUUAACUGGAUACGAUCACAGUGUUUUUCAGUUGUUUUAGAUCAGUUAUGACUCAGAUGAUCCAUAAAGAGAAUUCCACAGGAACUGACUUGCAACUAGGCAAAAUCCACAUGUAUUUAGGUCCCAAAGCCUUUGUGACCCAGGUCCUACAGGAGGUUACUGCUGAAGAUGUCUUCUGGCUAGUCCUAGUAUCUGGGAAAUGGUGCCCCGAACUAUGCCGCUGUGGAGGAAAUGGAAGUGAGGUUCCUGCUGAGCUCAUAUUUUGUAGCUGCUGCUCAUGCAUAUUAAAUUCAUUUAGUGUUGAAUGUGAGAUGGCUGUAGAAAAAUAACAAUUUUUGAACAUCAAACCCCACCUCGGGUAACUGACAGAGAUUCUGAUCCAGGCUGUUAUCCGGACCCGAAAUUAGGUUUGUCUCACCAGAUUAAAGAAAGAAACGGGGCUUGUUUGGGGUCCCCAUUCUGCAUGAAUGCGGCUGAGAUUUGCCCCAGAGAAGAGCAAAUUUGCUCAGGCCCAGGAUUUGGCAAGAACUCAGGUAGAAAUAGCAGACCCCCAGUUGCUGUUUUUCACCCCAGGGACGGAAGCUGUUGUGAGUUAUCGCUAGAUCAAAACGUGUUUAGAACACCACUUGAGGAGAGGUGAAUACUUCACUUGGAGUGCUACUGUCCAAAAUCUCAGCCAGGGUUUCUUCUGCCUUAUUCCUAUUGUUACUAAUCUCAGCUGAAUGUGAAUCUUUCCUUUUCAACAGUUGCUUUAGCUGCAAAUGUAAUGGCGGUAUAUAUGCAUGAAAUAUUGGAGUGCGUUUCUUAAUUAAAUCUUGAUUAUCUGGGUUACUAAGGA